rnacentral:rRNA from 1 species
UCGAGUGGGUUUAGGCCCACGGCAAACGGGUGAGUAAUACCUAGGAACUUGGCCUUAGUUGAGCAUAACCUACCGAAAGGUAGGACAAUUCUCAAUGUGGAAGCAAUUCUAAAGUCGCAAGACGCUAAGGAAGAGGCCUGGGCACCAUCAGCUAGUUGGUAAGGUAAUGGCUUACCAAGGCUAUGACGGUUAGGGGCCCCGAGAGGGGAAACCUCCACACUGGAACUGAGACACGGUCCAG